UGCAUUGUGUCGGCGAGAGCGGAGCCGCAUUUGUCUGCCUGAGGUGUUCGUUGAACGUGCUUUGGGGUGGCCGGCUGGGGUCUGGAAGUGUCAGCUGCGGCCGCGGCCCCGGCGGGAGAUCGAGUAGGAGGGAGCACGCGCCCGCUGACCGCGAUCGCUGGCAGGGGGCGGUGUGCUAGCGGAGCAACAUGCACAUAGGCGCCCGGCGCCCUGACGACCCCUCCUGUGGAAAAGAGGCCGGGGCCGCGCUGGGGCGGCGGAGAGCAUGAGGGAGGCCGGGGGGCGGCUGGGCUUCGAGCGCUGCUAGGAGAG
rnacentral:lncRNA from 1 species